rnacentral:lncRNA from 1 species
UACCCGCUACAAACUCCCUAAGCAUCCUCGACGGGAGUAAAGCAUGCAUGGUACCCACGGAGCGAGGCAAGUCCGAGGAGAAGACACUCUCCGCCAUGCAAUUCAAAAGGGCUUUCAAGAAGGACCCAAGCUUCUUGGUCUCCAUUCGGGAACUAAAUGAGGAAGGAAAUAGCGGAACAUCGCCAAGCCAAGUCCCUCCACGAAUUCAAGCCGUCCUCGAAGAUUACAAGGAUGUGAUGCCUCCAGAACUUCCGAAGAAGCUCCCAACUCUGCGAGAGGUAGAUCAUGCGAUCGAGCUGGAACAAGGCGCGAAGCCACCAGCCUUGGCGCCCUACCGCAUGGCACCACCUGAAUUAGAGGAGUUGCGGAGACAACUUAAAGACUUGCUGGACGCAGGCUAUAUUCGCCCCUCAAAGGCCCCAUUCGGUGCACCGGUCCUCUUCCAAAAGAAAAAGGAUGGAUCGCUGCGGAUGUGCAUCGACUAUAGAGCGCUCAACAAGAUCACCAUCAAGAACAAAUAUCUGAUUCCCUUGAUUGCGGACUUGUUCGACCAGCUUGGCAAAGCGCGGUACUUCACCAAACUUGACUUGCGCUCCGGGUACUACCAAGUGCGCAUCGCCAAGGGAGACGAACCGAAGACAGCGUGCACAACAAGGUACGGGUCUUUCGAAUUCCUUGUGAUGCCUUUUGGUCUUACUAAUGCACCCGCCACAUUUUGCACACUCAUGAACAAGGUGCUCCAACCAUUCCUCGACCGCUUCGUGGUCGUGUACUUGGAUGACAUAGUGGUGUAUAGCACCACGCUUGAGGAGCAUGCCCAACACUUGCAACAAGUCCUCCAAGUACUUCGAGACAAUGAGCUCUUCCUCAAACUAGAGAAGUGCUCGUUUGCCCAACAAGAGGUGGAGUUCCUUGGCCACAAGAUUGCGGGUGGGAAGAUCAUGAUGGAGAAUGACAAAGUAAAGGCCAUCCUCGAAUGGGAGCCUCCCUCGAAAGUGCCAGAGCUUCGCUCAUUCCUUGGGCUGGUGAACUACUACCGUCGCUUCAUCAAGGGCUAUUCAGCCAAGGCGGCACCCUUGACGGAUAUGCUCAAGAAAAACAGAACAUGGCAUUGGUCUGAAGAGUGCCAACGGGCAUUCGAGGAGUUGAAGAAGGCAAUUUCGGAGGAACCAGUCCUCGCUCUUGGACCACACCAAGCCCUUUGAAGUUCAAACGGAUGCCUCGGAUUUCGCCAUAGGUGGAGUCCUUAUGCAAGAAGGCCACCCAAUAGCGUUCGAGAGUCGAAAGCUAAAUAACACGGAACGCCGCUACACGGUGCAAGAGAAGGAGAUGACCGCAAUCAUACAUUGCUUGCGGGUGUGGCGACAUUACUUGCUUGGCUCGCACUUCACAAUUAUGACGGAUAACGUGGCGACAAGUUACUUUCAAACUCAGAAGAAGUUGAGUCCGAAGCAAGCACGGUGGCAAGAUUUCCUUGCGGAAUUCGACUAUCGGCUAGAGGACAAACCGGGGAAAGCCAAUGUUGUUGCGGACGCUCUAAGCCGCAAGGCGGAAUUGGCAACACUUAGCAUGAGCCAACCGAAGUCCGACCUAGUCUCACGCAUCAAGGAAGGCCUCCAACAAGAUCCGCUAGCAAAGGAUUUGCUGGAGAAGGUGCUCGAGGGAAAGACAAGGCGGUUUUGGCAAGUGGAAGGCAUCCUCCUCACCAAGGGAGAUCGGCUGUUCGUGCCAAGGUGGGGAAACUUGCGGAAGGAAGUAAUCAAGGAGUGCCACGACUCUAAGUGGGCUGGUCACCCAGGAAUCGAGCGCACCACCGCACUAGUUCAAGCCUCGUAUUUUUGGCCGCACAUGAGGGACGACAUCAAGGCCUAUGUGCGAACUUGUCUUGUGUGCCAACAAGACAAGGUGGAUCAUCAACUUCCAGUGGGAUUGUUAGAGCCGCUACCACUAGCAAUAAGGCCAUGGGAGAGUGUCUCCAUGGACUUCAUCACAUCGCUGCCCAAAUCCGAAGGUUGCGGUAGCAUCAUGGUCGUUGUCGACCGGUACAGCAAGUAUGCUACAUUCAUUGCCGCACCCGUCGAUUGCAAAGCGGACGAGGCAGCCCGCCUAUUCGUCAAGCACAUUGUGAAGCUUUGGGGAGUUCUGAAGAGCAUUGUGAGCGACCGAGACCCUCGGUUUACUGGGCGGUUUUGGACGGAGCUCUUUAAGAUGUUGGGGACCGAUCUCAAGUUCUCGACAAGUUUCCACCCACAAACGGAUGGGCAGACCGAGCGCAUUAAUGGCCUCCUCGAGAUGUACCUGAGGCAUUAUGUGAGCGCUCACUAGCGAGAUUGGGCGAAGCUACUUGACAUCGCCCAAUUUUCUUAUAACUUGCAGCGAAGUGAGGCUACGGGCAAGAGUCCAUUCGAGAUCAUCAUGGGAUUCCAGCCCAUGACCCCCAAUGCCAUAGCCUCGACUUACGGAGGGAAAAGCCCCGCGGCACACAAGCUCGCCCGCGAAU